UGGGGUAUAUUGGACAAUGGGGGGAACCCUGAUCCAGCCAUGCCGCGUGAGUGAAGAAGGCCUUAUGGUUGUAAAGCACUUUAAGCGAGGAGGAGGGUACUGGUAUUAAUACUACCAGGUACUGGACGUUACUCGCAGAAUAAGCACCGGCUAACUCUGUGCCAGCAGCCGCGGUAAUACAGAGGGUGCGAGCGUUAAUCGGAUUUACUGGGCGUAAAGCGUGCGUAGGCGGCUAAUUGAGUCGGAUGUGAAAUCCCCGGGCUUAACUUGGGAAUUGCAUUCGAUACUGGUUAGCUAGAGUGUGGGAGAGGAUGGUAGAAUUCCAGGUGUAGCGGUGAAAUGCGUAGAGAUCUGGAGGAAUACCGAUGGCGAAGGCAGCCAUCUGGCCUAACACUGACGCUGAGGUACGAAAGCAUGGGGAGCAAACAGG
rnacentral:rRNA from 1 species